AGUGAACGCUGGCGGUAGGCCUAACACAUGCAAGUCGAACGGCAGCACAGGAGAGCUUGCUCUCUGGGUGGCGAGUGGCGGACGGGUGAGGAAUACAUCGGAAUCUACUCUGUCGUGGGGGAUAACGUAGGGAAACUUACGCUAAUACCGCAUACGACCUACGGGUGAAAGCAGGGGACCUUCGGGCCUUGCGCGAUUGAAUGAGCCGAUGUCGGAUUAGCUAGUUGGCGGGGUAAAGGCCCACCAAGGCGCCGAUCCGUAGCUGGUCUGAGAGGAUAAUCAGCGACACUGGGACUGAGACAGGGUCCAGAAUCCUACGGGAGGCAGCAGUGGGGAAUAUUGGACAAUGGGCGCAAGCCUGAUCCAGCCAUACCGCGUGGGUGAAGAAGGCCUUCGGGUUGUAAAGCCCUUUUGUUGGGAAAGAAAUCCAGCUGGCUAAUACCCGGUUGGGAUGACGGUACCCAAAGAAUAAGCACCGGCUAACUUCGUGCCAGCCGCCGCAGUAA
rnacentral:rRNA from 1 species